rnacentral:rRNA from 1 species
UACGUAGGGUGCGAGCGUUAAUCGGAAUUACUGGGCGUAAAGCGUGCGCAGGCGGUCUGUUAAGACCGAUGUGAAAUCCCCGGGCUUAACCUGGGAACUGCAUUGGUGACUGGCAGGCUUUGAGUGUGGCAGAGGGGGGUAGAAUUCCACGUGUAGCAGUGAAAUGCGUAGAGAUGUGGAGGAAUACUGAUGGCGAAGGCAGCCCCCUGGGCCAACACUGACGCUCAUGCACGAAAGCGUGGGGAGCAAACAGG